GGAGGAAAAGAACUAACAAGGAUUCCCCUAGUAACUGCGAGUGAAGCGGGAAAAGCUCAAAUUUAAAAUCUGGCGGUCUCUGGCUGUCCGAGUUGUAAUCUAGAGAAGUAAUGCCCGCGCUGGACCGUGUACAAGUCUCCUGGAAUGGAGCGUCAUAGAGGGUGAGAAUCCCGUCUCUGACACGGACUACCAGGGCUUUGUGGUACGCUCUCAAAGAGUCGAGUUGUUUGGGAAUGCAGCUCAAAAUGGGUGGUAAAUUCCAUCUAAAGCUAAAUAUUGGCGAGAGACCGAUAGCGAACAAGUACCGUGAGGGAAAGAUGAAAAGAACUUUGGAAAGAGAGUUAAACAGUACGUGAAAUUGCUGAAAGGGAAACGCUUGAAGUCAGUCGCGUUGGCCGGGGAUCAGCCUCGCUCUUUUGCGUGGUGUACUUUCCGGUUGACGGGUCAGCAUCAAUUUUGACCGCUGGAAAAAGGCUUGAGGAAUGUGGCAGCUCCGGCUGUGUUAUAGCUUCAUGUCACAUACAGCGGUUGGGAUUGAGGAACUCAGCACGCCGCAAGGCCGGGUUUCGACCACGUCCGUGCUUAGGAUGCUGGCAUAAUGGCUUUA
rnacentral:rRNA from 3 species